AAAUCUAAACCCACAUAUAAAAUCAAUAUACACUAUGUUACGGGAUCGACAAUGUGGAAGUGCACGGAAACAGAUUAUUGAACGUUUGCUGCUAGCUCGAACAGGAAAUAAAGACGACCCACCACAACUCUGUCCGCGAGGAACCGCAGGAGUAGCACUUGGAUUAGGAAUAGGAGUAGGAAUAGAAACAAUAAUCGUCGUCAGGCCGUAAAAUUUGAAUAGCAAUAAAGCCAGCAAGAAUAGCAGCAAGGGAGCAGCAGCAAAAGGAUAAGAAACGUUGCGCGCUCCACAUCGUCGUCCAAAUGCCAGCUGGACCAGCCUUAUUACGCCCGGCCCAAUAGAGCCGCCGGAACAGGAGCGCACGCAGUAUCUGGAUAAUCUGUUGAGAAACAUUGCUUAGCAUGAAGCAACGGAGUACACAACAGCAUUAUCCAUCAAUCAGCGGAUUAUUCUUAUUAUUAUCAAGGAGAAGCGCAGAAACAAUCACAUCAGCAGGAGAGGCACUGGAAUCCACCGAAGCAGAAGCAAUAGCAACGACUGAAGGAGUCGGUGCCGGACUUGGAGUCGGACUAGCCGAAGGCGGAACUGGUGGCCUUGAGAAAUUCGCCAGAAGGAAGCAGAGGACUUGCCGAAAGUUAGCCACAUAAUAGGACUAGUCCACGAGCGGGCGAUCGCCGCACCAGAGAGGAGACGGACGGAGACGGCCCCGGGCGUGUGUUUUUGUCGCGUGUGUGGUGUGUGUGUGUGUCGGCCGUCUCAGUCAAGCAUAAUCAGCAUCAGCAACAGCAACA
rnacentral:sRNA from 1 species